UUUUAGCAUCGAUAAAAAAGAUAUCCUUUUAUGGCGAUCCCAAAAUUUCGGGAGGCCAUAAAAGAUAUAAUGAUACUUGAGAUAAAAU
rnacentral:misc_RNA from 2 species